rnacentral:rRNA from 1 species
AGAGUUUGAUCAUGGCUCAGGACGAAACGCUGGCGGCGUGCCUAAUACAUGCAAGUCGAGCGGACUUUUAAAAGCUUGCUUUUAAAAGUUAGCGGCGGACGGGUGAGUAACACGUGGGUAACCUGCCUGUAAGACUGGGAUAACUCCGGGAAACCGGGGCUAAUACCGGAUAACUUCUUUCCUCGCAUGAGGACAAGAUUGAAAGAUGGCUUCGGCUAUCACUUACAGAUGGACCCGCGGCGCAUUAGCUAGUUGGUGAGGUAACGGCUCACCAAGGCGACGAUGCGUAGCCGACCUGAGAGGGUGAUCGGCCACACUGGGACUGAGACACGGCCCAGACUCCUACGGGAGGCAGCAGUAGGGAAUCUUCCGCAAUGGACGAAAGUCUGACGGAGCAACGCCGCGUGAGUGAUGAAGGUUUUCGGAUCGUAAAACUCUGUUGUUAGGGAAG